AUUGAACGCUAGCGGGAUGCUUUACACAUGCAAGUCGAACGGAGUGGCGGACGGGUGAGUAAUAUAUCGGAACGUGCCCAGUAGCGGGGGAUAACUACUCGAAAGAGUGGCUAAUAACGCAUACUAUCAGAGCUGCCGAUAUCGGAUUAGCGAGUUGGUGGGGUAAAGGCUCACCAAGGCAAAGAUCCGUAGCUGGUUUGAGAGGACGACCAGCCACACUGGGACUGAGACACGGCCCAGACUCCUCCGGUAUGCAGCAGUGGGGAAUUUUGGACAAUGGGGGAAACCCUGAUGCAGCCAUCCCGCGUGUAUGAUGAAGGCCUUAGGGUUGUAAGGUACUUUUGGCAGGUCAGCGGUAUCUGCAGAAUAAGCACCGGCUAACUUCGUGCCAGCCGCCGCGGUAAUUC
rnacentral:rRNA from 1 species